rnacentral:rRNA from 1 species
AUUGAACGCUGGCGGCAGGCCUAACACAUGCAAGUCGAACGAGCGGCGGACGGGUGAGUAAUGUCUGGGGAUCUGCCCGAUAGAGGGGGAUAACUACUGGAAACGGUAGCUAAUACCGCAUACUAUCGGAUGUACCCAUAUGGGAUUAGCUAGUAGGUGGGGUAAAGGCUCACCUAGGCGACGAUCUCUAGCUGGUCUGAGAGGAUGAGCAGCCAAACUGGGACGGAGACACGGUCCAGACUCCUACGGGAGGCAGCAGUGGGGAAUAUUGCACAAUGGGCGCAAGCCUGAUGCAGCCAUGCCGCGUGUAUGAAGAAGGCCUUAGGGUUGUAAAGUACUUUCAGCGGGGAGGCGUUACCCGCAGAAGAAGCACCGGCUAACUCCGUGCCAGCAGCCGCGGUAAUAC